rnacentral:rRNA from 1 species
GUCCCCUACGGGAGGCAGCAGUAGGGAAUAUUGCUCAAUGGGGGAAACCCUGAAGCAGCAACGCCGCGUGGAGGAUGAAGGUUUUAGGAUUGUAAACUCCUUUUGUGAGAGAAGAUAAUGUCGGUAUCUCACGAAUAAGCACCGGCUAACUCCGUGCCAGCAGCCGCGGUAAUACGGAGGGGGCAAGCGUUACUCGGAAUCACUGGGCGUAAAGAGUGCGCAGGCGGGAUUGUAAGUCAGAU